rnacentral:sRNA from 1 species
GAUCAGUACCUAAUCCCAGCAAACAAAAAUAUUCAACAAGUCUCUGCGAAUUACGAUGAAGAAAAGAUGAAUUUUAAUUAAAAAGAGGUGAGCUAUUAAUAUGUAUUACUGUCAACUUUGUGCUCAGUAACGUGGGAUUCACAGUAAGAACAAUGAUAUAGAAAGUCAAAGAUAACAAUACAGAAAUACUUGUUCAGUAAGCUUUUAGCAUAUAUGAGCUAUCUGAAAUGUACAAUUGUGUGUCCUAUCCAUGUAAAAGUUUGCCUUUCUGUAAAGGAAAUAAUGCAUUAGGUAAUGCUGUUAAACAACAUAGUGGUUAAGACUCUAGAUGCUAGUGUAAGACUGGCCAUAUUCAAAAUCUGGCUCAAUUGCUCACUGAUAAUGUAAACUUAGACAAACUACUUAAUAUCUUUAAACCUUAGCUUUUUUGUCCAUAGAACAAGGAUAAUAUCAGUACCUAUCUCAUUCAGUUGCUGCAAGAUGGUGUUUAGAAGAAUAAUAAAAUUUUAAUAAAAGCUUAGUUGUCUUAUAACUAAAAUCUAUUGGAAAAACUCAUGCCUGUAAUCCUAACACUUUGGGAGGCCAAGGCAGGCAGAUCAUUUGAGGCCAGGAGUUGGAGACCAGCCUGUCCAACAUGGCAAAACCUCAUUUCUACUAAAAAAUACAAAAAUUAGCUGAGCAUGGUGACAAGUGCCUGUAGUCCCAGCUACUCAGGAGGUUGAAGCACAAGUAUCACUUGAACCUGGGAGGCAGAGGUUGCAGUGAGUCAAGAUUGUGCCACUGUACUCUGGCCUGGGUGACAGAGUGAGACUCAGUUUCAAAAAAAAAAAAAAAUCUAUUGUUUUUAAAAAUGCAUUGACCAAGUUAGAGAAAUAGUUAUAUAAGGUAAGUUGUGUGAAUGUAUGUUUUUACAUUUAUUUUGUAAUAUAAAGAAGGCUGUGUACUUGUAUAAUGCAUUCAUUUCUAAAAGAAAUAACUGAAUUUCAUAUUUUCAGAAAGACAUUAUGAUGAAUAAUUUAUAAAAUUUUAUUUAUUAAAUAUUUAGCUUUGUUAGAUACAAUUUUUCUUACCAGGCUUUGAUUGCAGUAGUAAGGGAACGUUUACUAAAAAGCCGUUGUUGUCUCACAUAUGUCCUUAUGCUGAUGUGUCAUUUGUAAAUGGAGACACUGGAUCUUUAAUGCUUUUUCCCCCUCAAGGAGAGUUCCUACCAAGUAGAAAAUAAAACUGGUUUGCUGAUAGUUUUUUUAAAUUUACCUAUUCUAUGCAUUGUUCCAGAAUGGAUAUGAAACUUUCAUUAUUGAGUUAGGCUGAUUUCAUUACCAGUCAAUUCAGUGAAGAAAGAAAGGCCAAUCAAAUCACAUGCUAUCUUGAUAAAACAACUAAUAUUAUCCAUCUACCUACCUAUCUAUAUUAUUUUACAAUUUCACUUCAUGUAUUUUAUAGGAGCUUACACUGUUCGAAAACAUGUUCUGACUUGUGUUUAUAUACACUUUUUUUUUGGGGGGACGGAGUCUCACUCUGUCGCCCAGGCUGGAGUGCAGUGGCACGAUCUCAGCUCACUGCAAGCUCCACCUCCUGGGUUCACGCCAUUCUCCUGCCUCAGCCUCCCAAAUAGCUGGGACUAGAGGCGCCUGCCACCACGCCCAGCUAAUUUUUUUUUUUUUUUUUUUUGUAUUUUUAGUAGAGACGAGGUUUCACCGUAUUAGCCAGGAUGGUCUUGAUCUCCUGACCUCGUGAUAAGCCCGCCUCCGCCUCCCAAAGUGCUGGGAUUACAGGCGUGAGCCACCGCACCCAGCCGUGUUUAUAUACACUUUAAGACACUGAAUUGUGACUACCUCAAAAUUGUUUGGUCCAGCCCAGUAACACUUAUUUACACAGAUUAGAUACCAGACACUGUUUUGGGUGUGGUCUUUCAGCCCAGUAACACUUACUAAACACAGAUUAGAUACCAGAUACUGUUCUGGGUGUGGUCUCCAGAAACAGAUCAGGGACCUCCAAGGAUAUAUUUUAAUGAAAUAAUGUCACUUUUAUUCAUAAAAUGAUAUCUCCCAGAUUGCCUGUGUGGUAUGGUGUCUCUCAAACAUUUCCCCACAAUACUUUGUAUGGCACCCUAUACUUCUCUGUAGCAGGCUUCACAUUUAUAAAUAAUUACUUGUUUAUAGCAAUCACACCUUUGUUAGAGCACAAGUUCCAAGAAGAUAAGUCCAUUUUAUUCAUUACUGUAUGCCCAGAUCUUAAUAAUGGCUGGCACUUAGCAGGCUUUGAAUACAUUUUUAUAACAUGAAAGACUUUCUGACAUUACCUCUGAUGGCAAUAUGAGUCACAUACCUCUUAAGUUAUGGGGCAUAAUCCAAAGCUGUCUCCUCUAACAAUCAGAAAAUACCUUUGAAGUUCCCUGUUUUAUUUACUUUUAAAAUGUAUGAUACUUUUAAAUUCUCAUCCAUUAUGUUUCUUUUAAUGUGUGUUUUGUUAUUCUUAAAAAUGGAUACUUUAGGAAAUGUAUCAUGGUUUUAAGGAUACAUCUGUGUGUGGCAUAUGGGCUUUGGAAUUGGAACUCUUGAAAAUCUGCCUUGAUUUUUAGCAAAUAUCUUAAACUUGAGUUAGCAGCUGAAAAAUGGGGCUGAGAAUAUUUACCUUGAAGGCUUUUGUUGUUGUUUUUUAAGAGAGUAAAAUGAAAUGUGCUUAAAGUUCUUGGUUUUUGUUUGUUUGUUUGAGACAGAGUCUCACUCUGUGGUUCCAUGGUGGAGUUCAGUGGCAUCAUCUUAGCUCACUGCAGCCUUGAAUUUCUGGGCUCGAGUGAUCCUCCUACCUCAGCCUCCCAAAUAGCUGGGACUACAGGUGCAUGCCGCCAUGCAGCUAAUUUUUAAAUUUUUUUUGUAAAGACAGGAUCUCACUAUGUUGCCCAGGCUGGUCUCAAACUCCUGGACUCAAGUGAUCUUCCCGCCUUGGCCUCCCAAAAUGCUAGGAUUACAGGCAUUAGUCACCAGUCCCAGCCUGAAAUGUACUUAAAGUUAUUAGCAUACAUAAUAUACCCUCAAAUAUUGUUCCCUUUUCCUUUUUUUUUUUUUUUUUUUUUUUUCGAGACAGGGUCUUGCUCUGUCACCCAGGCUAGAGUGCAGUAGUGCAAUCAUAGCUCACUGCAGACUCGAAAUUCUAGAUUCAAAUGACCCUCUUGAGUAACUAGAACUACAGAUGUGGGCACCCACAACCUGCUAAUUUUUUAAUUUUUUUGUAAAGAGGGGGUCUCACUAUGUUGCCCAGGCUGGUCCCUUUUUCCUUCUUACUAGAAAAUUUCUAGCUCCCUUCCAAGAAUCUCAGCUUAUACCUGGUUCUUUCAAUAUGUGGUUAAUAACUGUCAACUAAGGACUGAAAGUAUUUUCAAUCCUUGAGCCAUGCCUAUGGCUCUUCAUCUGGGGGACAGAACUCUUUAACUGAGUAUAAUGAACACCUCAUAGAUUACAUUUUCUAGGCAAAAUUUUUAACCAAUGCCAACAAUGUCCACAGAGAAAAAUUAGAUUGAAUUAACUUUUAUUACUACUUGUUUAACACAGAUUUACUUGUCUUAGACAAGUAAGAAUUUAUAGAAUCUAUGCUCUAUUGCACUAUAUAGAAACUAGAAAUGCAGUUAUACUGAUGUAGUGCAGUUUGUGGGAAAUCAGGAAUGGUGUUCUCCAGAAUACAUGAAGAUUCUCAUUGAUUGUUGCAAGGAAUCACGAAAGAGAUCUUUGGUCCAAAGAAAACGUCUUUUGGGCAGCAGAGCAAUUCGCUGAAGUUGCAGUAACAGAUCAUCUCACAUCCCUUCCCAUCCCAGAAAUGAUCCUGGACAUUGACAUCAAUCUGUGUCAGGUCAGCUACUCCUUCCGGAAGGUUGUGACAGUUGUGAUCUUUUAGUAUCUUUCUGUAGCAAGAGAGGCGAUUUGCAGGCAUGGCUUGAACUCCUAGCAGCAAAGUUAGCCCAAUGGUGAAAACAAGUACCAUCAGUUUCAUUUUGGCUUUUGGCCCUGAAAUAGAAGAAAGACCAAAAUGUGUCAAUGUUUGUUUUUUAAAGAUAGAAUUCAUCUGAAUGAAGUUCUGUAGCAUGCUUAUAAACCCUUGGAUAGAAAGAAUGGGAGUUGGGCUUUUCUACAAUCCUGUUUGUGUUUCUCAAAGUGUAGUUUUAUGACCAUCUAUGAUAAAAAACCAUUUGGAAUAUUUGUUAAAAAUCAAAUGCGCAGGCUUCUGGGCCAGGCACAGUGGCUCAUGCCUGUAAUCUCAGCAUGGGAGGCCUAUGUACAAGGAUUGCUUGAACCCAGAAGUUUGAGACCAGUCUAAGCAACAUAGUAAGACCCUGUAUCUACAAAAAAUUAAAAAAUUAGCCAGGCAUGCUGGCAUGUGCCUGUAGUCCCAGCUACUCAGGACCACUUGAGCCCAGGAGUUUGAGGCUGCAGUGAACCAUGAUUGUGCCACUGCUCUACUGGGGGUGGCAGAGUGAGACCUUGACACACACACACACACAGUCACGCACAGGCUGUAGGCAGGGAGGAAGUGUUGGUGGGGGCUGCAAUCUGCAUUUAAGAAGUACCCAAAGCUAUAUAUCUUUUGAACAUUCAGUAGAGAACAACUGUUUUUUAAGGUGGUAUAAACUCAGGCAAAUUUCUAGAACAAAUAACAUAAUUGAAUACAGUGGUUCUUUACCUUACAUUAUCUUACAUCCUAACAACAUUGUCAAAGUACCUGGGUCCCAUCCUGACAGAAACAAAAAACCCAUUUAUGUUGAUAGUGACAGAUGAUAGUGUAUAGAUAUAUUUAUAGUUUGAUUGUUUUUUAACUUCCAGAAGUAGUUUAGUACACAUUAUGGUUGCAAAUUUUUAGCAAUGCUUGGAUUUUUAUCCCACAUAGACUACUUCCUCUUAGCUGCAGUUGAAAAUGAAGGCUUGAAUUCCUGCGUUAUAAUCAUCUAGCCUUCCAUGAACUCCUACCAUGAUGGGGAACUCAUUAUUAACUAAGUCAACAUAUCCCAUUGAUACAGUUCUAACAUUUCCCUUAUUGUAAAAUACUUUUCUGUGGCUUCCACCCACUAAUCCUAGUUUGAACCCUGAAGUCAUACCAACAAUUCUAAUUUCUCUUCCAGGAGAUAAUUUUUCAAGUACAGGAUUUGCAUAGAAGUAUAGAAUAUUAAAUAUCUAUCUAAUUAGACUUCUCUGGUUUCUACAUUAGAUGUGAAGAAAAUGGAGACUAUUGUAGUAAAGGAAGAAUAGCAAAAUAGUGGAGGAACCAGGAUUAGAAUCCAGAGCCAUUCAGAUUUUAUCUUGUUAACAGGUGCCAAAGUAUCUUUCCUUCCUUGGAAAGAGGGAAAACAGAUGGAGGACAUUGUACUUGGAAAGAAAACAAUAUUGUGGAAUAGCCAGACGUGGUGGCUCACACCUGUAAUCCCAGCACUUUGGGAGGCCAAACCCGGCAGAUCACCUGAGGUCAGGAGUUUGAAACCAGCCUGCCCAACAUGGCAAAACCCUGUCUCUACUAAAAAUACAAAAAGUAGCCAGGCAUGGUGGCAUGCGCCUGUAAUCCCAGCUACUUGGGAGGCUGAGGCAUGACAAUGGCUUGAACCUGGGAGACAGAGGUUGCAGUGAGCAGAGAUCAAGCCACUGCACUCCACCCUGCAUGACAGAGCGAGACUCCGUCUCGAAAAAAAAAAAAAAGAAAGCAAUAUUGUGCAAUGGACAUUUUUGGUAUAAAGUUUUUAGUGAUUAGGUAUCUUUUAAAGGUAAGUCAUUUUAGAUAAGAUAAUGGAUUUUUAAAUAAAUACAUUUAUUGCUUUUUUCCCUUUAGAUUAGAAACAAAGUAUUUCUUCAUACUCCUAAGAGUUUCAGAGUUUCUUUGUCUCACAUUCUAAUUUGAGUUAGCCAUUUUUGGCUUUGGCUAUAUAUUUCCUUAGAAUUAUCAAUAUCCAAUUUAAUUCCUACCUCCAAACAUUAGUGAAAGAAAAGACUAAAAUGAGAUCUACCUCAUUUUAUAUAUUUUCAGAUUUAAUGGACUAAGACAUUGCAGUGUUACAGUGCAUCACAAUCCAGCAUAUAUAAAUGAUAUCUUCCAAUGGGCUUUUUGUAGGUCAUGGUUUAAGUGACCUAAUAUGUGAUCUAUCAUGGAGAAUUUUCUGUAUGUACUUGAGAAGAAUGUAUAUUCUUCUGCUGUUUAACUGAACAUUCUGUAUAUGUCUGUUAGGUCCAUUUGGUCUACACUGGUGUUGAAGUCCACUCUUUCUUUGUUGAUUUUCUGUCUGGUUAUUCUAACCAUUACUAAAAGUGGAGUAUUGCAGUUUCCUACUAUUAUUGUGUUGCUAUUUCUCAUUUUAGUUCUGUCAAUAUUUGUUUUAUAUAUAUAUAUGUGCUCUGAUAUUGAGUGUGUAUAUAUUUAUAAUUGUUAUAGCUUCCUGGUGGGUUGACCCUUUCAUCAUUAUACUUUCUUCUUUGUCUCUUGUGACAGUUUUCUACUUAUAGUCUAUUUUGUCAGAUAUGAAAUAGUCCACUCUGCUUUCUUUUAGUUACCAUAUGCAUGGAGUAUCUUUUUUCAUUUCUUUACUUUCAGCUUGUGUGUGUCCUUAAAUGUUAAGUAAGUCAUUUGUAGAAAUCAUAUAGUUAUAUAUUGUUUUUUUUUCUUUCUGCUACCCUAAGUCUUUUGAUUGGAGAGUUUAAUCCAUUUACAUGUAAAGUAAUUAUUGAUAGGGAAGAAUUUACUAUUGCCGUUUAGCUUAUUGUUUCUAGUUGUCUUGUAAUUAGUUCUUUGGUGCUUUUCCCCCCUGCCUUGUCUUCCUUUGUGUUUUGUUGGUUGUGUUUUUCUUUUUCUUCUUCUUCUUCUUUUUUUUUCCGAUAUGCUUUGAUUCCUUUCUCUUUUGUGUAAACUGCUAUAGGUAUUUCCAUUGUGGUUACCAUGAGGCUUACAUAAAAUAUUUUAUAAUUGGCCAGGCGCAGUGGCUCACACCUGUAAUCCCAGCACUUUGGGAGGCCGAGGCAGGCAGAUCACGAGGUCAGGAGAUCGAGACCAUCCUGGCUAACACGGUGAAACCCUGUCUCUACUAAAAAUACAAAAAAUUAGCCGGGCGUGGUGGCGAGCGCCUGUAGUCCCAGCUACUUGGGAGGAUGAGGCAGGAGAAUCACUUGAACCCAGGAGGCAGAGAUUGUAGUGAGCCGAGAUCUGUGCCACUGCACCUGAGUCUGGGUGACAGAGAGAGACUCCGUCUCAAAAAAAAAAUUAUAAUUAUAAGUCUGUUUUGAGGUAAUAACAACUUAACUUCAAUCACAUACAAAAACUCUACACUUUUAAUUCUCUCUCACCACACUAUGUUAUUUGAUGUCACAAUUUACAUCUAUUUAUAUUGUGUAUCCAUAAACAUAUUUUAAAUUAUAGUUAUUUUAAUACUUUUGUCUUUCAACUUUUAUGCUAGAAUCAAAUGGAAUUCAACCACCACCAUUUUAGUAAUAUAGUAGUCAGUAUUUGUAUAUACACUUAUCUUUAUCAAUGAGUUUCAUAUUUUCUUAUGCUAUUUUGUUGCAUUUAACAAUAAAGAUGUAUAGAGUAUUUCCUUAUAAUUAAAAAGAAAUCUUUUUCUUCCAUUAUGGUCUUUCUAUAUGUUGCUCUCUCUACCAGGAAUGUUCUUUUUUGGGCUAGUUUUUUGAGUUUUAGGUCUCAGUUUAAAUGUCAUUCCUUCAAUGGCCUUUCAGUCUAAGGUAGUUUCAACUUUGUUCUUUCAUAGCGCCCUUUCUUUUCCUUAAUGAUAUUUAUCACAAUUUAAAUGAUAUAUUUGUGAAUUUACUCAUUUUAUGUCUGUCAUUCUCAUUAGACCGAAGGCUCCAUGACAACAAUUUAUUUUGUUCACUACCAUACACCAGUGGCUAAUACAAUGCUUGGCCCAUAUUUGAAAAUGAAUGAUUUUCCAAAAACACAUUUUUUAUUCUAGGCAAGAGCCUAUAGAGGUCUUAUGUUGUCUAAAAGAAUAUAUGGACUUCUUGGGCUAACCUAAGGCCUUCCUUUCACUUUGUCUCCAUGCCUAUCAUUUAUUCCUGUUCAGCUAGCCGGGCAGUCAAGCCAGUCAUCUCUUUAAUCCUAUGUAUGUGUCUCUGCCUUGUUGUUCCUUCUCACCCCUUCCCUUGAUAUUAAUUUCUGACCAAAGCAUCCAUGAAGGACAAACCUCACACUCAUAUCUUCUAAGAAUCCUUCCCUGAUUUCAGACAAUACUACUCUCAUAGCUCCCUUGCUCUAUGUUCCCAAAGCACUUAUAUAUAAUCUGGCCUACAAGAACUGUGAAUUUGAGUAAAUAAUGCCUUGUCAUUGUCAGCAUUUUUAUAAGCUGGUUAACCAUUUGGAGAAUAUGACUACAAUUGGAUAUGGGGAGUGGGAAAUUCAUAGAGCUGAUUAAUUAUUUAGUGAAUUGGUUAUUAUGUGAAUUUACCUACAGCCAAGAAGGAAGAUUGGGAACAAUCAUAAAGGGCCUAGAAGAUAUGAUAAAGAGUUUAGAUUUUAUUGAGUAUAUUAAGAAGCCAUUGGAAGAUUUUGACAGAACAGUAGCAUGAUCUGAUUUAUGCCUUUUUAAAAAAAUCCCUGGCUGGCCUGUGAAGAUGUAUUGUGGUGGGACAAGAUUGGAAAUAGAAGAAAACAGGCUUUUGGUGAGAACUGAUGGGAUAUAUGAAGCAAGAGGGAAAGAAUCAAGGAUGACUCUUGGGCUUUUGGCUUGAAUGGUGUUGUCAUUUGUUGAACUGAGGAAGAAUUGGAAGGAGCCAAUUUUGGGGGGAAUCCAGAAAUGAGUUUUUAGACAAGUUAGGUUUGAGAUGCCUGUUAGAUAUUAAAGUGAAGAUGUUGAGUAGGCAGUUGAAUGUGAGUCUAAAGAUCAGGGGUGAAAAUACAAAUUUGAGAGUAAUCAGGAUAUUUAUUGAUAGUAUCUAUAGCUAUGGGUCUGGCAGGGCAGUAAAGGUAGAUCCAGAAGAGAUGAGGCAAAGGGCUGAGGCCCAGGGCAAUUCAAUAUUCAGAGGACUAGAAGAGGAGAUGCCAGCAUCAAGGCAGCAAGGACUGUAACUUCUACUUCUUUUGUAUUGAAGCAGAGUGCCUGCUUCAAUGCUGAGCUCACAGUAAGUGUUGAAAAAAUUUCCUUCAGUGAAAUGAACAAAUAAAUUGCUGGUAAAAUAAGUAAGUAAAUUGCCAUACCACAUACCUCUUCUGUGUUCAUGCCAGAGCAUAAGAUCAUUUUUUUGCCACAGUCUAAGUCGCAUACUACAAUGGAAAGUUCCACACCUAGCAAGUACCUACUGGUAGUUUUGUGUGUGUGUGUGUGUGUGUGUGUGUGUGUGUGUGUAUGCAUUAUAAAUUACAUGUUUUGGCCCAGCACAGUGGCUCACACCUGUAAUCCCAGCACUCUGGGAGGCCGAGGCGGGCAGAUCACGAGGUCAAGAGAUUGAGACCAUGUUGGCCAACAUGGUGAAACCCCAUCUCUACUAAAAAUACAAAAAUUAGCUGAGAGUGGUGUCAUGUGACUGUAGUCCCAGCUACUCAGGAGGCUGAGGCAGGAGAAUCACUUGAACCGCGGAGGCAGAGGUUGCAGUGAGCCGAGAUUGCACCACUGCACUCCAGCCUGCGCGAUGGAGCCAGACUCCGUCUCAAAAAAAUGAAAUAAAAUAAAACAAAAUAAAAUAAAAUAAAUUACAUGUCUUAAAUGCAGACUUCUCUUCUUCCUUUACUUAAGUACAGAUAAAUAGCUUUAACUAUUAUUUAGCAAAUGGAAAAAUUUCUGACCCAGUGUGUUCCUGGGAUACAUUGGUUGUUGUUUCAUUAAAGGAUACCAAACUUAAUCCUUGGCAAUCCAUCAAAACCAUAUAUGUUCAAGUGCCAACAAGAGUGAAAUGAUUUUGGCCAAUUUGAAGAAAAUUGGUCUUUUUUUUUUCUUUUUCAGUUGAGGUACAUGUACUUAAAAUCCCUCCUGGAAUACACCCAAAUUACAAAAGAAAACAAAGUUACCUACUAAAAAUUAGAAGGAGUGAGCAAGAGAAGCUUAGGUAGUUAUCCAUUUUUUUAAUUCGAUUUUAUGUAAUUAACAUUGUUCCAAAUGUUGUAUGAUACCAUUUAUAUCCUAAUAGUGUUGUAAGUUUUAAUAGAUCAUUGCAGAGGAUACAGGAUUAUGAGCAAGACAUUUCCAACUAAACAAUAAAUCAUUGCUACCAUCCUUUGGUAGGGAGUUGCAAAUUUUGAUUCUGUCUGAGGGCAUUUAGCACAAGCAAGCUUUUGAAUGGCUGGAGCUAAAUGGAGACUUAAAAAGAAAAAUUAUCCCAUUUAAUUGCCAAAACUAACAGGACCAUGCAGUUUAAGUGUUCAGACAUUUAUGGUGCAAAUGCUCAUACAGGCAGCUGAUGUCAGUUCUGGGAACUGGUAUUAAGAGCAGUGGCAUGAAACAGAGUUGAUGAAUUAGACAGAAAAGACAGUCCAUUUUCGGAUUGCUUUCAAAAAAGCAGCAAGAGAGAAGCAAAGCUGCAAAAGCAAAUGAAAACUCCAGCCCAGAACUUGACAUUUGAAAUAUCAAAAUUAUAGUUGGGAGAGAUUAAAAUUGCUGCCCAGUCUGUGAUGUUUUCCACUCAUCUCUCUUGGAGGAUGAAAAUCACUGUUUUUUUAAAGUUCUCUUUUUUUCUUAUUAGCUGCCUUAGAAGACGUUUUUGUUAGAAUGACUGAGUCCUUAGAAAAUGUUUUUGUUAGAAUGACUGAGUCCCAAAGUGAAAUUUCCCAAAGUAUGUGUUAAAGAACAGAAGCAGUAUUAAAAAGUGAAUAAGCUGCUUAAAGAUCCUUAAAACAGACAUAUCAUCUUAAAUAUCUAAGAUACCUUCAUCCAUAGAAAAACAAAAUCCACAUCCUCCCUAAAAGUGAUCAGGCUUUUAGAGCAUGCCAGAAGAUGAUAUUAAUAUUCAGUCUUGCAUCAUUCUCCUUCUUUUCCUGGACACAGUAAAUCAUCAUCACUGGAGAAAAGGACCAGCAUUUGGGAGAGCUUUUCAUAGCCUGUGUAAUUAAGUUAAGGAAUUUUAAAGAGGAAUUUUUCUAAGUCUCAGAGGGAAAAAGUGUUCUCUUUAUAUUAGCAGUACAGACACUGUUGUGUUCCAAGAAUGGACACCAAGGAUGAAUUCAAUGAAUUCCCUCUUUGUAUCACACAUUUGUACCAGGUUCUUUUCAGAAAUCAGGAUUUUUAAAAGCAAAAAACAUUUUCUUUCUUAGAUGUUGCAGUUAACUUCAUGUAGUGUAGGUAAUAUAGCUGCUGCAUUUAAAACAAUCCUAUAUACUUUAUCAUCCUCACAUAGUUCUGAGGACUGGGAUAAGUCCUGUUGUGUGGGACAACAUUCAGAGUAAAUUUGGGCAUUAAAUAAAUGAUAGUGAAGAAUCUGCCUCUUUUUAAACCUGUAAUGAAAUGACUUUCCUAGUCAAGAAAUAUACAUUUUCUGUUCUUUUUUAAUCUGAUUAUUUGCCUUUCUACUAGGAAGCAUCAUAUUUUUCAAAGUGCCUGCAUCAUCUCCUCAGAGGAUCUCUGUCUUUCUCUUCUGACUCAACACAUACAUACAUUUCUGCUCUAAUCUACAGUAAUACUUUGGAGUAGAACAACUGACAUAAGAUGUUUUUUAUAGAGAAAAAAUUACAUACCUUUUUCUUCUUUCCUUUUGGUCUUGGCAGAGGAUGCUUCUUAAAUGCUCACACUCACUGGGUGAGUUUGGGCAAAAGGAGAAGAGAGGAGGUGCUGGAAGGAGCUUCUUUACAAAUGAACCUUUGUCUGCCUUGUCUCUGGCCUGGGAUCGACAGACUCGCUGCUCCAGCCAGGACUGUGGGGAGGAGGGGAGUGGAAGGAGACAAGGCUGCAAGGACUGCCUCCUUUGGAAGUGUUCAGUUUGUUCCAAACCAGGCGAGAACGAAUAGAACAGCUUCUUUACAGAGGGAAAUAACUAGUCUAUACAAGAACCUCAGGGAGGCAGACUCUGGUAGCAAUAAAACAUAAAACCUGAGGGAUUUUAAAAGAACACAGAGUGAUUUUUCCCUUAAGAAAAGUGUGUGUGUGUGUGUGUGUGUGUGUUUGUGUGUCUGUGUGUGAGAGAGAGAGAGAGAGAGAAGAGGAAAGUGGGGAAUGGCUAGCUGCGCACCUCUUCCCCUUUCACAGUUUUCCUAGCCAUCUAGAUCUGUUACAAAAUCCUGGUAGAAGAUACGUUCCAAUUCACCUUCCAUUUCUCACCCAAAGACUCAUUAGUAGUCAAUGGAAAGCUAAAAUGAUGACUAAAAAGAAAUGUAUUCUGUGCCUUAGAAAUAAAAGCACAAAAGAAAUUUUAUUCUGUUUUCAGCAAACUAUACUGGAAUUCUAGCAUCUGUUAACUGUUGUUUAGGUUUUUAAAAAAUUCGAUUAGGAGUAGUGUUUUGGGAAUUAGAGAUAUUAUAUUGUAAUGGAGUUGGAAUUAUCUAGACAGACAAUUGAGGCAAGGGCAUUCCAGGUUGAAUUACAAAGGCAUGAAGGUGAAAAAGAGGGUGACAACUUCGGAGAUUAUAGGUGGUUUCAUUUGGCUAAAACCAAAGGUGGUAGGAGAUGAAAUUUGAGAGACAAGAAGCAGCAAAUUGAUGAAUUACCUCAUAUGCCAUGCUAAAAAAAUUGUUUUUAUCGUGAAGAUGAAUGGAAAGAUGAUGAAAACAUAUUAAAAAGGAUGAAAAGCCUGACUGCAGUGUGAAAGAAGGAUGGUUUCCUGGGAGGAAAGGAGACUAAAGACAGAAAAUACCGGCUUUUGCUGUAGUCCAGAAGGGAAGAUAGGAAGGAAAACUGAAAAGACCUGAUGACCACUUAAGUGUUUAUGUUUAGCAUAGAGAUAGGAAAUUUUAUUAACUUUCAAAGGCUUGGGCCUUUGGACGAUGAUACUGUUAAUCAUCUAGAAAAAGGAUAUAAAAGGAAUAACUGUUAUUCAUCUAGGAAAAAGAAUACAAAAGUUUUGGCUGGAGGAGGAGUGGGAAAAUAGAAAUGAGUUAGUUGGUGAACGUUGAGUUUAAGGAACCCUAAAUACAGUUGAGAAUGUUUAGUAGGCAGUUGGUUAAAUAGACCUAGAGCUUAGGAAAAAGCCUGGUCUAGAGAAUUAGUUCAUCAACCAAUCAACUCAAUAUCAAAUAAUCUCAACUAAAUAACUAAUGCAGGUAUUCAACUAAAUGAUAGCCGAAGUCAUGGUUGUACCACUAAGAAGUUACUGUGCUCUUACUGUGUGCCAGGCAUUUCAUACGUCUGAACUCGUUCACUCUCCUUCCAACCCUAUGAAGUAGGUACUAUUAUUAGUCCCAUUUUAUAAACGAGGGGAACAUCAGAGAUGUCAGGUAACCUGCCCCAAAUCACACACACAGCCAGAAAAUGGCGAGACCCUGGCAGUGUGUUUCUAGUGUCUUUGUUUCCCACCAUUAUGCUGUACUGCCCCUUAGAAUAGAUUAUAAAGUUCAUGAUACGACUGAGAGCAGAAUUAUUCAAGGAAUGGGCAGAGAACUGGGAAGGAAACUGAGAAGAGGUAGCCAAAGAAGUAGGGGAAAAUUAGGAGAGUGUCAUCAUGGAAGUUAAAGGAAGAGUAUUUCAAGAGAAUGGAGGUGAAUGGAAGGCUGCUAAUGACAGCAGUGCUGGGAGAACAACACGUGCACACCCUGAUAUGAAGGUAGGCAGAGCAAAGAGAAGGUCAAUACAACCAGAAGCAGUUCCAGCCCUGACAGAGAUCAAAUCUCUGCUUGGUCUCCAUUUCGCUGAAACUGGAGCAAGUGGCAUGGACCUCAGGAAGGGAGAUGAGAGGUGUGUGCGCAAUGGACUGCACAUUUCCUUUGCAUAUUUAUAAACAAGUCUGCUGUGAUUCUUACUAAAUAAAGAUGAUGCCAUACACAGAUGGAGUUAAUUUGUUUGCAUGAUUUAAAUGUAUAUAAAUAUGUGAAUAUGAGGAGGAAAAUGGAAACUAGCCUUUAUUCCACUUUAAGAGCUAUCCGUCCUGUUUACCUCAGGUAGAUCUAAACAGAGGUAUGGUGCCAAGGCAAAUCAACAUUCCCUGUAGAUGGAUCCUCUCUUUACUCUGUUUUACUCUUAUUUCCCUGUGUGUCUAAUUCUGUCUAAAUUUCCCUUAUUGUGUUGCUUAUUUUGUCUCCUUGUGUCUGAAUUCAUAGCUGCUCAAAAUAGUUGAUUCAUUUUUAUAUUCAGCAACACUGAAAUCCAUACAAUAUGCUUGGCAUUGUGCUUAUGAAUGCUGCCUGUAAGUGGUACACAGCAGCUCUUGGUAAUGAUCUAAUCAUCUCUGGAUCAUGUUCUGAGCCACUUAGGAAAGUUUUCCCCUAAGAAGCACAUUUGGACCCUGGCCUCCAAAUCCCUUGUGUUUUCAAACAUGUGUUUAUUACUAGCUGGACUUCCUAUCAUUUCUAGGAAGAAUCAUUAAACAAUAUCAAACUUAUAAUUGCUUGUCAUUCAUCCUGAUGUCCAUUACAUGGGGAUGUCCUUUUGAGAAGGAGUUCAAUUCCAAACCAAGGCCUGCAAUCACAGAGUCUGCCUUUGUGGUUUUUAAUUUGUGGCUCAAAUCUGAAACCACUCUUUGUUUUCCUGUAAAUGGAGCCUUAAGGCCUUUUAGUUUUCUUUCCUGAUGGGCUGUUACUCAGACCUCUUAUCGAACCCGCUUUAUGUUGCUCUGAAGACCACCUGUUUCUUUGAGACGGCCUCAGGAGCCUCCCAAAGUGAAUCUUUUAUGUGACAUAGAGCUUCUAUUUUAAGUAAAACCAUCCAAAUGUAAUGUACAGAUUUCCAGAAAAUAUGUCCAGCUAUGUAUUUUUAUGUGAUGAUGAUGACGAUGGUGAUGAUGAUGUGUGUGUUUAUUUCUAUAGGUAUAUGUUAUCACUCUUAGGUGCAGUCAGGUUUGUUAGAAAUAGAAAAUCCUCACAAAUUAGUGAUAAGACCAAUUCGUGAGUAGAGAAACAUUUUAUACAGAAUUUAAGCAAUUACAUUCAAAGUACUGAAAUUAAAUUUGUAAAGAGACCUAAUUAGUAUUUCUUUUUAAAAAAAAAAAAACCUCCCAAAAUUGAAAAAUUGAGAAAAACACCAAAAAACAGCAAAAUCCUUCCAAUCAGGUGAAGUCUGAAGAGAUGUCUCAGAUAUAAAUAAUUUCAGAUAUCAGACAUCUUAAGCUUGUGAGAGAAAAAAAAUGGAACAUGCAUUAGUUCUUCCUCUGAUGUCCACCUGGGAGCUCAUGCAUUCACCCUAAUUUAGAAUCUGCUGCUCCUCUGUUCCAUGAUUGACCCCUUUCUCUCAUUUCCCUCAGGCUUGACUCCUUCUGGGCUCACCAAGGCUGGCAGUAUGGGGAGAAGCAGCAGCUGGUUUCGGCCUUCACAGCUCACAUCUUCCCAGGAGAGAGGUAGGACUUUUUUUAUGUGAGUAUCCUUGACAAAAGGAGCCUCAAAAUAAUUGCACUUAUUGAAAACUAACUCACAAUAUGCUUGUUGAAAUGGUGAUGAACUGCGACAAAAUCACCUCUUAAAACUACCUUUAAAAUCUUUCAUCAGUUAAAAAGAAACAAGCUAUUUUACUAACUUAUUUUUGAACUCAGUAAAAGAGUUUCCUCUUUGAUUACAACUAUAUAAAGUUUCCCUUAAGAUAUCCACUGAACCUUGGACAUUUAUGCUUAGAAUUGUUUUUGAAAGUGGGUUGAACAACAUAACCUCUAUUACCCAAACUUAGCUUUAUGUUGCUGAAGUGAGACUCAGGAAAACAGGUUCUACUGAGGAAUCGUCAGUAAGGCCCUUGAAGAGACAGCAGAAUCACCAAGUAGCUGUUGUGUAAGAGGGUGAACUGAUGCCACCUCCCCUGCAGGGAGAGAAAUGCUUCCAUGAGGUAUUCAUAUUGGAAUGCAAUUUCGAUGGUAUGAUGUACUUGGGAAUGGCUAGGAUUCCCAGAUGGGCAACCCUGGCUAUAAUGGGGAUAGCCAGGAGAGUCUUCUUGAUCAAAUGCUUUUAGUCAGAAUAUCAAACACAAGCUCUCUUUUCCCUGGGCAUAGAGAGUAAGGCACCCACCUUCGUCUGCGCCGCCCCGGGAAUGCUGGGCUUUUUAACAGAAUUGAUACAUAGAGACUGUAAGGUUACUCAUGUAACCAUGAGUAACAUGAUUUUCAAUGCUGCAGAAAUAAAGUCAGAAAAAUGAACAUCAGGAGAGACCUGUGUCCAAGAAAACUAUCCACUUUUAGGAGCCCAUGGAAUAGUUAGAAUGAAUGGUAAUGUUAAUAUGAAAAUAAACUUUGGCAAGAAAAGAGGCCAAGAAGGAAAGGAACAUGAAAAUAACCUUUUUAGUUUCCUGGCAGUCUCUAAGGGGCAUUGGACUGGUCCAUGGAAUCACAGCCCAGAGCCUAGCAAUAAUUUUAUGAUUUAUUGGAGACAACCUACUCACUUACCAAACCUAGAAAGAUGGAAAGAUUGACUAAGUGUGUCAACGUGUAUUCUUUCGUAGGUCCUGAGUUAUUGCCCUAAUCUUCUCAAAGCUGUUUCACAGACACAAGCAUCUG